rnacentral:lncRNA from 1 species
GCUGGGAAGAGGAAGGCGUCGGCGAAGACCCCCUGGGGUGGGGUCAUGGGGCUGGUGGCUACAGAAUGGUGCUGAACCACCUCCAGACUAACCUGUGUCUGCUGCUGCCGGGCCAGGGAGCCAGGGACUGGAGGGCCAAUUAGAGGGGGCUGGAGCUGUUCUGUCUGGUUGGGUUGGGCAGUUCCACUCCUGUCCACUAGGCUGUGCUGUUCUGUCUGGUUGGGUUGGGCAGUUCCACUCCUGUCCACUAGGCUGUGCUGUUCUGUCUGGUUGGGUUGGGCAGUUCCACUCCUGUCCACUAGGCUGUGCUGUUCUGUCUGGUUGGGUUGGGCAGUUCCACUCCUGUCCACUAGGCUGCACGUGUCUGUCUGGUUGGGUUGGGCAGUUCCACUCCUGUCCACUAGGCUGCACGUGUCUGUCUGGUUGGGUUGGGCAGUUCCACUCCUGUCCACUGGGCAGCGCUGUUCUGUCUGGUUGGGUUGCUCCUCACUUAAGCGGAGCUUCGCUUCUUCUCCUAUGUGUUCUGGCAGCUUGUUUUUAGUCAGAGAUUGUGGUGAUGUCAUCUGCUUCUUUUCUGUUCGGAUGUCUUCACCGGAAGGAGGGAGAGAAUCCUCCUGUCUGUUUCCGUGUGAGUGUAGGUUCAUGACAGUCCCUAUGGUUUUGGGUUGAGCUGUAUCGUCACUCUUCCCAUCCUCCAGGCUGUUUUGGGGCACUGGAGGAACGACUUUAACCCCUUCACUGUUGUCUACCUCCACAGACCCUUCAGGCUCGGUGCAGUGAAUAAAUGACAUAACCUCCCUUCUAGCCUCCUCCUCUUCCUCCUCCUCUUCUUCCUCAACUCCAAAGCUGUCAUGAUGGGUCACCAGAAUGGUGAUCUCUUGAUCGACAGCGUCCCCAGUCGCCCCAUGUCGCCCUCUCCUUUUAACCUCCACUGGUUCUGGUUCACCAGCGUUGUUGUGACAGAGUCCGUCACUCUGAGGAUCUGAGUAAGCAGAGCUAUCUGGAGGGAUGUUGGACUGUGACUUUAUCUCUUCAGCCACCUCGUCUUUCGGAGCGCUACAUUUCAGUACCGGGGCUAACAUCAGACGAGGAGUGACUACAACAGAGUCUGAUGUAGUUUCCCUCUCGU